AAACGUGUUAAAACGUGCGGAAUCCGGAUUUUCGUGUUGCCUGUUGUUCACUUUUUCUACUGGGCUACGGGCGUCAACUAUCUGGAAAGACCAACUGAUCAUCUCAAUGCCUGUGCAAUGUUUGGCAAAAGAACCACUAAUCUUGCAGUUAGUUGGUGUAUAAUCAUUGUGGGCUGGCAGAUCGUACAUCU
rnacentral:snoRNA from 1 species